GGGCUUGUCAGUGGCUGUAAUAAUGGUGUGGUCCAUUCAGGUUUGGAGACAUUAUGCCUCUGAAGAUCAGUUGCUGGUGGGGGGCAAACAAGAGGGGAGGUGGGCAAACAAGAGGGGAGGUCGGUCUAUGCCUUCAUGCUCUGCUUGUGGAGUUCCCAGAAGCAUCUGGCUGGCCACAGCUGGAAACAAGAUUUUCAAGGCUCUUCCUACAUCUCUACUGAAGAGAUUUUUCUCACAGAUGUGUCCAAGAGAUCAAUUGCUUUUCAAGACUGUAAGGAACUACAGGCUGACCAAAUGUGGGAAGAGGUAGAAAGACGACAAGUGGGCAUCCUUGAUUGCACUGAAGAACCAAAAAGACAGUUCAUAUAAUGCACUGAGAAGCCAAUGAGUUUUGUGAAUGCAAGCACUUGCAGAUGGAACAUCCUCGCAGAUUUUAUCACUUCAGUUAUUAGAAAAUGUUGGUUAAUUACAGAGCACCUCUGGAGUAGACAGUAUCAGCAGUAGUGCUGGAUACAUAUGCACUGCAACUGUCUUCAUCUCAAGAUUAUGAUUUAUUACAUUUCUGUAUCGCCCUAUCCAUCCAAAGGCUCUGGGCGGUGUAGAACAACAAAAAACAAAAACAAUCAGCUUAAAACUAUAUAAAAACAAAUUUUAAAGCAGGGCUCUCUUAAAGGCCAGCAAUGAACCCAAACGAUGAAUUUCUGCCAGGAAUGCAUUUCACAGGCCAGAUGCAGCUGCAGAGAAGGCCCAAUUCCAAGUUGCCACCAGACGUACCAGUGGCAACUGGAGAUGGACGUCUCCAGAUGACCUCAACGUGUGGUGGGGAUCAUACAGAAGAAGGCGCUCUCUAAGGUAGCCCAGACCCAAGCCAUUCAGGGCUUUAAAGAAAUAAUACAGUCCCACAACAAAUCAUCUGAAAAGAGAAGAAAAUAAUAGCUGCACAAGAUACAUACAUCGACAAAUUUGUUGGUAGCCUUACAGCUCAUUGAAAAGUGUUUUAUGCCUCCUGAAAAGCUAUAUGAAAAGCAAUUGUCCCAUGUAUACCUGCAUGCCUUUGCUAUGUCAUCGAGUAAAGCAAAGCAAGUGUGAAAAGAGAUAAAGUAUUGCUUAUUCUACAAAGAUAUUCUAAAGUGGCCUGGAUACAUUUGUUGGUACUCAUAAAAAAGAUUAUAAAUAAUUGGAUUAGAGUGAUUUUUCAAAUUAGCUGUUUUCUUUAAUUAGUCUCACACAUGUCUCCAAUCGUGCAAUCAGUCAUUCAGCCUAUUUAAAUGGAGAAAAGUAGUCACUCUGCUGUUUGGUAUCAUCGUGUGUCCCACAAUGAACAUGGGCCAGAGAAAGCAAAGGAGAGAGUUCUCUGAGGAGAUCAGAAAGAAAAUUAUAGACAAGCAUGUUAAAGGCAAAGGCUAUAAGUCCUUCUCCAAGCAGUUUGAUGUUCCUGUGGCAACAGUUGCAAAGGUUAUUAAGAAGUUCAAGGUCCAUGGGACUGUAGCCAACCUCCCUGGAUGCGGUCGGAAGAGGAAAAUCGACCCCACAUUGGGCAGAAGGAUAGUGAGAAUGGUAGACAAAAAGCCAAGGACAGCUUCCAAAGAGAUACAAGCUGAACUCCAAGGUCAAGGUCCAUCAGUGUCUGAUGGCACCAUCCGUCGCUUUUUGAGUGAAAGUGGGCUCAAUGGAAGAAGACCCAGGAGGACUCCACUGUUGAAAGAAAAACACUAAAAAGCCAGACUGGAAUUUGCUAAAAUGAAUAUUGACAAGCCACAAUGCUUCUGGGAGAAUGUCCUUUGGACAAAUGAGACAAAACUGGAGCUUUUUGGCAAGUCACAUCAGCUCUAUGUCCACGGACAAAAAAACAAAGCUUUCAUAGAAAAGAACACCAUACCUACUGUGAAACAUGGAGGAGGCUCAGUUAUGUUUUGGGGCUGCUUUGCUGCGUCUGGCACAGGGUGCCUUGAGUCUGUGCAGGGAACAAUGAAAUCUCAAGACUAUCAAGAUAUUCUGGAGCAAAAUGUACUGCCCAGUGUCAGAAAGCACUGUCUCAGUCGCAGGUCAUAGCUCCUCCAACAGGAUAAUGACCCAAAACACACAGCUAAAAGCACCCAAGAAUGGCUAAGGACAAAACAUUGGACUAUUCUGAAGUGGCCUUCUAUGAGCCCUGAUUGGAAUCCUAUUGAACAUCUAUGGAAAGAACUGAAAGAUGCAGUCUGGAGAAGGCACCCUUCAGACCUGACACAGCUGGAGCAAUUUGCUCAGGAAGAGUGUGCCAAACUACCUGUUGAUAGGUGCAGAAGUCUCAUUGAGAGCUACGGGAAUCACUUGUUUGCAGUGAUUGCCUCUAAAGGUUGUGCAACAAAAUAUUAGGUUAAGGGUCCCAUCAUUUUUGUCCAUGCCAUUUUCAUUUGUGUUAUUAUUUGAAAUAUUCUGUUGCAUCAAAACUCAAAAGCAAAGUCAGAUUUUUGUUAAAUGCAGAAUAAACAAUUAUGGGUGCCAA